rnacentral:rRNA from 1 species
AACGGUAAGGCCCCUUCGGGGGUACACGAGUAGCGAACGGGUGAGUAACACGUGGGUAAUCUGCCCUGCACUUCGGGAUAAGCCUGGGAAACUGGGUCUAAUACCGGAUAUGAACUCCUGCCGCAUGGUGGGGGUUGGAAAGUUUUUCGGUGCAGGAUGAGCCCGCGGCCUAUCAGCUUGUUGGUGGGGUAAUGGCCUACCAAGGCGACGACGGGUAGCCGGCCUGAGAGGGUGAUCGGCCACACUGGGACUGAGACACGGCCCAGACUCCUACGGGAGGCAGCAGUGGGGAAUAUUGCACAAUGGGCGGAAGCCUGAUGCAGCGACGCCGCGUGGGGGAUGACGGUCUUCGGAUUGUAAACCCCUUUCAGUAGGGACGAAGCGCAAGUGUCGGUACCUGCAGAAGAAGCACCGGCUAACUACGUGCCAGCAGCCGCGGUAAUACGUAGGGUGCGAGCGUUGUCCGGAAUUACUGGGCGUAAAGAGCUCGUAGGCGGUUUGUCACGUCGUCUGUGAAAUCCCUCGGCUUAACCGGGGGCGUGCAGGCGAUACGGGCUGACUUGAGUACUACAGGGGAGACUGGAAUUCCUGGUGUAGCGGUGAAAUGCGCAGAUAUCAGGAGGAACACCGGUGGCGAAGGCGGGUCUCUGGG